UCUGAAGGUAAGGAAUCUGCCUGCAAAGCAGAGGAGCUAGGUUCGAUCCCUGG
rnacentral:tRNA from 1 species